rnacentral:lncRNA from 1 species
AAGGGCCGGCUGCUUUCUGCUUAUUAGAUGUGCUGAACUGAGAAGGCAGAACAGAGAAAGUUGAUUUCAACAGCCCGUAUCAACAGUUCCAGAAACUCUUUUUGCGAAACCCUCCCUGCCGGGAAGGGAGAAAAUAAACCACUGGACCCAGGGUUCUGAGUCACAUCUGCCCCUACCCAGCACCAUGAAGUCCGGCGGGCUCUUGCCGGUGGCCGUUAUCCUCGUCCUGGGGAUCCUUCAGUUAUCCUGGGCUCAACGGGGAAGCUGCCCUCUUGACCACAAUCACUGCAUCCUACCUGUGCCGAACCAAUGCAAGGCGGACCAGGAUUGUUCAAGAGGGUACAAAUGCUGCUACUUUCACUGUGGCCUGAAGUGCGUGAUUCCUCGGAGAAAUGUGAUAAAAAAGGGGAGAUGUCCCGUGGUGAACAUCCGCUGCGCCAUGCUCAACCCUCCUAACCGCUGCCUGAAGGAUUCCGACUGUCCCGCCAGGAAGAUAUGCUGCGAGGGAGCCUGCGGGAAGGCCUGCGUCACCCCAGAAAGAAAUUGAGCGGUUGCGGUUGAGAUGUCUGCAGCUCUAAGGCCCAACAGGACUCCUGCCCGGCUCCCUGCCCCCGGACCACCCCUCUCUGUCUCUCCCUGACUUUCGAGGGGUGGGCGAGACAGGGAGGGGGUCUUACCCUUGCCCCUCCUGCUGGAGCAACUGCUUUCUCUAUCUGGAACCAAUAAACAAACCCCAUCUCCCCCCAGCCCCAGCAGCCUGCCUGUGACUUUGCUUUUUGGGUGGCUCCUUCU